GGCUCAGUAGCUCAGUUGGUUAGAGCGCCGGCCUGUCACGCCGGAGGUCGUGGGGUCGAGCCCCAUCUGAGUCG
rnacentral:tRNA from 1 species